GACGAACGCUGGCGGCAGGCUUAACACAUGCAAGUCGAACGCUCUCUUCGGAGAGAGUGGCAGACGGGUGAGUAACGCGUGGGAAACUACCCUAUUCUACGGAACAACAGUUAGAAAUGACUGCUAAUACCGUAUACGCCCUCCGGGGAAAGAUUUAUCGGAGUAGGAUGUGCCCGCGUUUGAUUAGCUAGUUGGUGAGGUAAUGGCUCACCAAGGCGACGAUCCAUAGCUGGUCUGAGAGGAUGAUCAGCCACACUGGGACUGAGACACGGCCCAGACUCCUACGGGAGGCAGCAGUGGGAAUCUUGGACAAUGGGGGCAACCCUGAUCCAGCCAUGCCGCGUGAGUGAUGAAGGCCUUAGGGUCGUAAAGCUCUUUCGCCUGUGAAGAUAAUGACGGUAGC
rnacentral:rRNA from 1 species